GAAAUGCGAUAAGUAAUGUGAAUUGCAGAAUUCCGUGAAUCAUCGAAUCUUUGAACGCACAUUACGCCCUCUGGCAUUCCGGGGGGCAUGCCUGUCCGAGCGUCAUUACGCACCCUCAAGCCCGGCUUGUGUGAUGGGCCCCACCGUCUCGUUCGCGAGACGGGCCCGAAAGGCAGCGGCGGCGUCGACCCGAUGAGCCCGAGCGUAUGGGGACUUUUGUCACACGUUCGCGGUGCGGACCGGCGCCUGCUUUGACUUUUAAUUUCUAGGUUGACCUCGGAUCAGGUAGGGAUACCCGCUGAACUUAAGC
rnacentral:misc_RNA from 1 species